ensembl:lncRNA
UUUGUGGUUUCUUUUUUUGGGGUGUUUUUUUUUUAAACUGCCUGGUACAAAAAAAAAAAAAAGAAAAAAAGAAAAACAGCGAAAUUGUUAUUUCCAUCAUCUUGGUGAAGCUGAGUGGAUGUGUGUGUGUGCGUGUGUGUGUGAGAGUGAGAGAAAGAGAAUUAGCAUACUUGCUGCUGCUCCCUGGCUAGCCCCUCACCUUGAUCCCCACCCCGCCUUUUGAGAUUAAGAGAAAAAAAUAAAAAAUUAAAAAAAAAAAAACUUAAAAACCAGUGAAUGUAAAGUGCCGGACCAGGCCCAGCCUGGCAAGGGUGUGGGUCUGGGCCUGUACCCAGGCAGGCUCCCCCGGGGCCAUACCAAAGUCUGCCCCCGCCGCCACCAUGACCGGCUCGCCCAGGAGACCCCUCAUGGCCCUCCUGUCUUGUCACCCUGUUUGUACCUGGCUGUCCCUUUCCUUUCUUCUAAGGGAGUGGGGUCUUGGGCGGGGGGAGGAGCCCCCAGCCCCUUAGAGGGUCUUCUGGGGGAGUCCUUGCACUACUGAGAUCCAUCUCAUCCCAUGUGGUGGGACAGAGGCAGGGGCCCCUCCAGGACCAAGGCAGUUCAGGAAGCCAGGAUUGUAGGAGGUGAGAAACGGAGAGACUGAAAGGAAGAGCAGGAGAAAAAAAAUAAAAAUCCACACAAAAAAAGCAAAAAUCCUAUUUUUUGAGAAAGAAAGAUAUUUAUAUUUGCAGUUUUAUUUUAAAAAGUUAUUUAAGCUGAGGAAGCAGCCUUCCUGGAGCGGGAGUAGGGGGAUGUUGGCUGGUGCAGGACGGGUCAGGGCCUGGGGCACCCCAGGAGUGAUAACCUCAGAGUAAGACUAGCUCGCACUAACUAUAUAGAUUUACAGGGGGGUGGGGGCAGGGCUGGAGAGGGAGGGGCCUGGGGAGACCCCUAUUCCGCAGCUGGAGCUGCCUGAAGGCUGUGGCUACGGGUCCCCUCUGCCCCACCCGGGCCCACAGACAUGAGGUGCCUUGGACUUUGGGGGGCCAGGCCUGGUGGAGCAGGGCGGGGUGGCUCCCACGGGGGGCACAGAGCACAGAGCAGACAUUCCAGAGACUGUAUUUGAGAGUCUUUAUAAAGUGUGGGAGAUUAAAAAAAAAUCAGUUGAUAAAAAUGCACUUUUUGGGGGUGGGGAGGGAGAAGCUUUAAAAGUAAUAAUAAUAAAAAAACAAAAAGACAAAAGAUGAU